ACUUUUAGCGCAGCCUUCCUUUCACCUCCUGCCUCUUUAACGCGUUGUUAACUGGGCUACGAGUAAUGGGUAUCUGACCUUAAUGAAUAAGAGAGCUCAGAAAAUGUGGCUAUUUUCAUCUGAAUAACUAGAAGAGACAGUGAGGUAAAUAUGCUUAAGGUGUCAGCAUUUCACGCGCUUCGUAGCGUUUCCCUGGAAAGCAUUGGGAUUUCAUUUGCCCUGUUGACAAACAAUGUUUACUCCGUAAGCACCAAACGAUGCAGACUCAGAGGUCUGCAGAGCCGCACCUUGGAUGUCAUAAGAUUGUUCAGCUCCAACCAACAUAACCCAAAGGUCCCAAAAGUGCCAACAUGGGAAUCAGUAGCAGAGGAGCAGCUUCCACCGCCCACGAAAAUCCCUGUUGACCUAGUGGACAAGCUGGAGCGUCUGGCCUUGGUGGAUUUUCGGACAAAACAGGGGCUGGAAUGUUUGGAGAAAGCCAUCCGUUUUGCAGAUCAGCUCCAUGUUGUUGACACAUCUGGGGUUGAACCGAUGGAUUCAGUUCUGGAGGACAGGGCUUUAUAUCUGAGGGACGACACAGUUACAGAGGGUGACUGUGCAGAGGAGCUGCUUAAGCUUUCAAAAAAUACAGUUGAAGAAUACUUUGUUGCACCACCAGGAAACAUUCCUCUACCUAAGAGGGAGGAGAGAGCUGCCAUCCUCAGACACUCCGAGUUCUGAUGACUUAAUUGUGAAUGAUUUAUUAUUUUAAAAUAGAGAACAGUAUAUGUCUGCCUCAGCCUACAGUUUGCAACCCAUCUGGGUAGAAGCUGAGCUGGUUUAUGACUGCCUUUACUGCAGUUUAUAAGCAGCCGUAAACAAUCUGGAAGAAACUGCCAAACAUCUUGCUGGUUUCAUCUAUUUGUCUUCUAUUAAAACUUCCUGUUGUUGAAAAACAAGUUUAGGUUUCAGUUUUAAUUUCACAGAUUAACAUAAAACAUUUUUAUUAAAGUGCAUGUCAAAACUCUUUUUUUGAGGAUUGUUUUAAACUGCUAUAACUAUAAAUCUAAAUAUUG